AUUGAACGCUGGCGGCAGGCCUAACACAUGCAAGUCGAACGAGUGGCGGACGGGUGAGUAAUGCCUGGGAAUCUGGCUUAUGGAGGGGGAUAACGACUGGAAACGGUCGCUAAUACCGCAUACCAGAGGAUGGGCCCAAAUGGGAUUAGGUAGUAGGUGGGGUAAGGGCUAACAAAGCCGAAGAUCCCUAGCUGGUCUGCGCGGAUGACCAGCCACACCGGGACUGAGACACGGCCCAGACUCCUACGGGAGGCAGCAGUGGGGAAUAUUGCCCAAUGGGCGCAACCCUGACGCAGCCAUGCAGCGUGAAUGAAGAAGGCCUUCGGGUUGUAAAGUUCUUUCGGUGACGAGGCGUUACUCACAGAAGAAGCACCGGCUAACUCCGUGCCAGCAGCCGCGGUAAUAC
rnacentral:rRNA from 1 species